ensembl:lncRNA
GAAAGCUACAACAGUGGCUAUUUAUACAAAUAUAUUUUUGUGUAUGUUCAUAUGUAAUUUACAGGGAGAUAUAAGACUUGCAAAAUUGCAUGGAAAAGGCAAAUUAAAAUAUGAACAUGCUGACAGAUGAAUACAACCACAGCUAUGCAUGCUGGCAUUGGAGUGACAGAGAGGGCAUCUCAUGAGGCCCCUGGGUCACAACCAAGUGGUGGUCAAUUCCAAAGGAGGAGACUAAUCAACGGUGCUCUGUGUGGCCCCACAAUAUACCUCAGGGAUUGGGUAUCCUCCGAGGAGGGAGCAGGCAGCUCUUUGCUCGGAUGCACAAAGCUGGAAGCCUUCAAACUCCUGUCCUGUCACUGUGUUGGGUCUGUAUAAUUUCUUUCUUGCUUUUGUCUGCCAACCUAUCUCUUGCUGUCUUGGUGGUGCCUGUUGCCAUGUUACUGCUAUUGGCACUGGUGCUUCAUUUCUUAUCGGUGCUAGGAGCUGCCUGUUUUCUUUCUGGUUUAAUACAGAUCUAAAUCCUGCAUUUAUCUUCCUUUUAUCAGGAGCAAAACUUUUGGACACUUCUGCCAUCAACCUACAAUGCAUUUGGCUCCACAUUCACUUGUCAUCCAUUUUUAACCCAUGUUUAACUAACUCUAGUAUUUCAUAGCAAC